AGCAUUUUAGAAUUUGCUGGUUUUUUUUUUUUUCCCCUUGAACCCACUUUAACAUUCAGCAUCAAGGCUUUAACAUCAGUCAUCCCAUGUAGCCAAGGCUAGGUCAAAGACCAUAUUAGCUAACUGCCUUGAGCCUUAAACCUUUGGGAUUUGCCAUAGGAGAGAGUUGAGUGUAUUGAUAUGACUGCUAUGGGCUUGGCUUGGUUUCUCAUUCAUUCAUUCACUUGACAAACAUUUAAUUGAAUGGCUACCAUGUGCCAGACACUAGGUGCAAAGAUAACUGAGACCUUAUGGAAUACUGGGGAAGAAAGGCAAGACUAUACAGUGUCCAGAGAAAGCAGGCUCUGGCCAGGCGUGGUGGCUCACACCUGUAAUCUCAGAACAUUGGGAGGCCAAGGCGGGAAGAUCCCUUGAGACCAGGAGUUUGAGACCAGCGUGAAUAAGACGGGUGAAAAUUCUGUGAUACCUUUCCUCAGCCUUCAAAAGGGUCAUGGCUGCCGGGAGUGGUGGCUCAUGCCUAUAAUCCCAGCACUUUGGGAGGCCAAGGUUGUGAACUGGAAGAGAGUAAGCAUGCUGUGAUACCCAGGAAAGGCUCCGAUUUGUUCCCUCAUGGCCUCAAGGUGGCUGCAGCAGUGCUAGACUAAAUCCUCACUUACAAAGCCUCAAGCUUAGAAGACAGAACAUCCCUUCCUUGUGACUCUUUUUGAAAGUGAAGAAGAAUCUGUUAGAACCUCCUGAAAAGACUUACUCUCAUGUCUCAUUAGUCUGAAUUCUGUCACAGGACAAGUCCUAAACCAAACAUUGCAAAGGAAAUGGCAGAGGGGAUUAGCUCUUCUGAAGCUAAAGAUCUGUUUGCAGUCAGAAAACAGGUAGGCAACUGACACUAUUUGUUGGAGCGAAAGUGAUAUUAUAGAAGUAACUUUCAAUUGUUGUACCAUUUAUAUAAAAUAAAUAAAUGAAAAAGUGUUCUUAGUACCACAAUAGUUACUAUAGGCAAAAUCCAUUGAUGAAUACUACUCUUAGUAGGUGAGACUUUAAGGAGAAGCAGGGUAUUUGCAUAGCUGGAAAGGAAUUUCCCAAAUACAUUUAUUAAUUACUAUUAAUGGUGGGUUUUGACAUACACUCCCAAAUUCUUCUACGAGGAGGUGAAGUUUAAUUUCUGUCUCCUUUAUUAUGAGUUUGACUUAGAAACUUGCUUCUAAGGACUGGAGUGUGGAAAGGAAAAAAUACCUUUACAGCACAGAAACCGGCAGAUACUACCUUAACUGAACGAUCAAUGUUAACAUCACCCGUAAUAAGUUGUACUGACAUGAUGUAUCCCUUAUAUGAUGUGAUGAGAAGGGCACCUCACCUCUGUGGUAUAUGGUAUUAUUCCUCCAAAUCUAUAAGCUCAGUCUAAUAAUGAGAAAGCACCAGACAAAUCCAAAUGGAGCCAAUAUCAUGAAAAGCAAAUGAGGAAAGGCUGGCAGAUUGUCAGAGUUGAGUUUAUAAGGAGACAGGAUGACUUAAUGCAACAUGGUAUCCUGAAUCGAAUCCUGGAACAGGAAAAGGACAUCAGUGGGAAAACCAGUAAAAUCUGAAUAAUUCUAUAGUUUAUAGUAUUGUUAAUGUUAAUUUCUCAGUUUUAUAAAUGCACCAUGGUUAUGUAGCAUGUUAGCAUUAGGGGAAAUGGGAUGAAGGGUACAUAGGAACUGUCUGUGUUAUCUUUGCAACCCUUCCAUUAAUCUAAAAAUAUGUCACGAUUCAAAGUUUUAAAACAAUUCAGUUAUUAGGGCAAAAAGGUUUCUUUAUCAUUAGGUCUAAUUACUUUCAACAUAUCUCUCAAUAGAUCAUGACACUGCAAUGUCUCAUGGUGUCCCCUUUGGUUGAGAACAGCUGCUACUUUGUUCAUUUAUUACGUAUUAACAGACAUCUCUAUGUGCCAGGCAUGAUGCUACCAAUGAUGAACUGAGAAGAUACUGCCCUGGCCCUCCUGCAACUCACAUUCAAUUGACCUAAACUGGGAAGCAAAGUUUUUUCCUAUCCAAUACAAUAGUGAUUUGCAGAGAAUCCCCAACUUUGAGGGUUUUGAAAUGAGUUACAGAUUUUUGGUUUUUAAGAUUUGACACAAACUGUAUUGAAUAUGGAAAAUUGAUGCUACUCAUUUUUGAAUACCAGCAAGUGAAAUUAGUCCUUACAGUUUUUUUUUUUUUUUUACAAAAGGAGAUAUGAGUUAAGGGUUUUACUUAUGCUGGAACAUAAUGUUUUACUCCUUUUGUCCAAGAGUAAGCAUGGGCCAUUUCAGCUAAAGUAAGGAAUUUGUUCAGUUACUAUCAGGUUCAGGAAAACAACAAACAAACAAACAAACAAAUAGAAUGUAUUAGAUUUACCAAUGACUGAAGACAGGAUUGGGAGACUUUGAUGACAAACCUUGUACUGUUUGACUUAGCACAUUGGCAAAUCUGAUUGUAAUAUAUGUCAGAUGAGUUCUAAAAAGGUGAAUACAGAAUUUAAUAAAGAGGGAAUAGAAAAAGACAAGUUAUUAGAAUGUAAAAUAGAAACAACACUUAGGCUUAGAGACCCAGGAAUUCACAGCUUUUUAAUAGUGCUUUGUCUCAUGCUUGCUGAAUCUUUCCUGUAAUUACCUGAAUGAAAAAUGGUCUUAAAAUAAAUGAACAGAACAUUGUACCUUUCCCAAGACAAUGCUGCAGCUAUGUCAGGAUACCUGUAGGAGGUUGUAAUAAGGCUGCUGGGUGAAUUUUAAGUCAAAAUUUAUUUAAAACAAUCAUGUUAAUUAUUCAUAAACAACAACCAGAGUAACAUAAAGUUAUUUUCAGGUUUAUUUUUGAUUAUUUAGAAAUGAUUAUUAUAUUCAUUUUGGUUAUUUUACCAUCAUAUACAUACACAAAAAAGAAAAUAAAAUCACUAAAGACCAGUUUGUUUCAAAAAAUCAAUUUUGGUCAAGAUUCAUCCUAUAGGAUUCAGAAAAUAUUUUCUGCAGCUAAAUAAAACGGAAAAGCUUCAUUUCAGUCAAGCUCAAUGAACAUUGUUUUCAUCAGUGAGAUGUGUGAUUUUUGUACCUACUCUGAUUCUCUUGAUCACUGCGUUUUUUUCCCCACAGUGAACUUUUACAGCUUUUACUCGACUAUGUCUCUUCCUCCUCUUAAUGAUAUCACCCCAAUAUUUUUUAUUGAGGUGAUUUUACAAGCAGUGAUAUGUACAGAUCUUAAGUGCCCAAUUAAAUGAGUUUAGACAAAUGCAUAUGCUCAUAUAAUACCAUCUCAAUUAAGAUACAGACCACUGGGCUGGGCACAGUGGCUCAUGCCUGUAAUCCCAGCACUUUGGGGAGGCCAAGGUGGGAGGAUCGCUUGAGCUCAGGAGUUUGAGACCAGCCUGGGUAACACGGAGAAACCAUGUCUCCAAAAAAGAAAAGAAAAGAAAGAAAAAUGAUACAGAACAUUUCCAUCGCUCCAGAAAGUUCCUUCAUGCACCAGGCAGUCAACUCUUAACCCCCAUACACAAAAAUAUUGUAAUUCCGUCACCAUAGAUUAAUUGCCUGUCUUUGAACUUCACAUACAUGGAAUUGUUCAGUAUGUAUUUCAGUGUGUCUGGCUUCUUUUGCUCAACAUAUUUUUGAGAUUCACUCCGUUGCUGUGUGCAUCAAUAGCUUAUUCCUUUUCACUGCUGAGUAAUGUUCUAUUAUGUGACUAAACUACAACUUGCUUAUGAACUCUUCUGUUGAUGGGCAUAACAUUGCAAUAAAUAUUCUUGUAGUAGUUUUUUGGUGGACAUAUGUUUUAAUUGUCUUGGGUAAAACCUAAGAAUGAAAUUGCUGAGUCAUAGGGUAGGUGUAUAUUUAACUGUAUAAGAAACUGACAGUUUUGCAAAAUGCAUCAUUUUACAAUUCUACUAGCAAUAUAUGAUACUUCAAUUGUUCUGUGUCUGUCAACAUUUGCUGUUGUCAUUUAAUUUUAGCCAUCCUAGUGCAUGAAAUGGUAACUCAUUGUGGUUUUCAUUUAUAUUGUUAUAACGAUUAAAAAGA